rnacentral:lncRNA from 1 species
GGCCCUGGGGAUUCUGGUGGCUUUUAAAAGACACUCAAUUCAAAGGCCGGUGUCUUGAAUCACAUUUUGGAAUUGGCUUGUGCUUUUUCCUGCUAAUUUUCUUCGCUCCUAAUUAACAUGCCAUGAAAACUCUAAAAUCAGCACAAUAUGAAAGACAUUUGCCUCUUUGUAACAGCAGAUCGGGGUGCAGGAAGAGCACUGAUGUGACUUUAUUGAUGACAUGCUGGGACAGAUUAAAUAUAGAAGUAACGUAAUUAAGCCUGAGUUUACUGUCUAUAAUGAGUCCCCUGUAUUUGAGAUCACUCAGCUGCCAUUAAUGAAUGUUUGAUUUCAGUCCACCGCAGGCUUGACUGCAGCUCCGGUAAUCAAUUACAGCUAGUUUGCUGUCUUGAACGUAAUCCAUGUGCAGCCAGGAUUCCAACCAAGUGAUGUGAAGCGAAGGCAAAGUAGUGUUGGCGGAAAGACCUGUUAAAACUCAAGACGUGACCCAAGAAGACAGACAAGGAAGGCAGCGUACAACGGUCCACGUUCUACUCGUGAAUACGACAGUGAACCAAGCCAAAACCCAGUAAGAUGCUUCAAGCUGAGGGAAGACGUGGUGACCUAAAGGCAAGAGAAGAAAAGGCAACGAGCUCAAGGAAUCAAAGCCUGGAGCACUCAGGUGUAGAGGCAGCCAGCACGAGAGAUGGAUCAACCACGCCCCUAGAGGACAAAAUAGAGCAUCGCAGCCAAACACAGACCAGACACAGGAUCAUAACAACACCAAUACCCCGUCUCCACGCUGCCCUGCUGGAGGGAAGAACGCACAGGACCUGACUCCUGUGUUUGCUCCAGGCUGGAGCUCUCUGUGCGCCCCGGAAAGCUGGACAAGUGCGCCCCCUGCGGUCCAGGAGGACUGUUGAAUUGAUAUUUUAAUAAAUACUUUGUUUUGGACAUUACUCCCUCUUAGCUUUGCCUGCUUUCGGGUCCAGGAGAAAACCCAGACUCAACAUGUUGAGUUCCAUUCAAUGGGUGCCUGACAUGUAGUGUUGUUGAGAUGGGAGGAUAUACCUCCCAAAGAUGACAUACGAAGGGAUGUAAACCUUCACAUUUAGCCUCAGUUCACCUUUGACCUUGGUCUCAUUUGAACAGUGGUAAAUGUGUGUAAAUUCACCUGCCGCCUGUUCUUUUAUUCAAGAAAAAAG